GUACACUCCUACGGGAGGCAGCAGUGGGGAAUAUUGCACAAUGGGCGCAAGCCUGAUGCAGCCAUGCCGCGUGUAUGAAGAAGGCCUUCGGGUUGUAAAGUACUUUCAGCGGGGAGGAAGGCAAUACGGUUAAUAACCGUGUUGAUUGACGUUACCCGCAGAAGAAGCACCGGCUAACUCCGUGCCAGCAGCCGCGGUAAUACGGAGGGUGCAAGCGUUAAUCGGAAUUACUGGGCGUAAAGCGCACGCAGGCGGUCUGUCAAGUCGGAUGUGAAAUCCCCGGGCUCAACCUGGGAACUGCAUUCGAAACUGGCAGGCUUGAGUCUUGUAGAGGGGGGUAGAAUUCCAGGUGUAGCGGUGAAAUGCGUAGAGAUCUGGAGGAAUACCGGUGGCGAAGGCGGCCCCCUGGACAAAGACUGACGCUCAGGUGCGAAAGCGUGGGGAGCAAACAGGAUUAGAAACCCCGGUAGUCCCAUG
rnacentral:rRNA from 1 species